UUUAUUGAUUCUAGACACUGAAGGUAGACAAUGAUUCUUGGUAAAUUGAUAUGACUCACAAUCUAAAGAAAAUAAAUGUGAAACUGAGGACAAUUUCUUUAAGGUACCUCAAAAGGGGUCAAAACACUAAAACAAGUAAUAGAUCUUGGCAUCCAUACAUCAAGGAUAUAGAGACUUCUAGACUCAAGCCCUUUACCAAUAAUCCGCUUCGUCGUAA
rnacentral:misc_RNA from 1 species